GACGAACGCUGGCGGCGUGCUUAACACAUGCAAGUCGAACGGAGUGGCGAACGGGGGAGUAACACGGGGGUGAUCUGCCUUGCACUUCGGGAUAAGGGUGGGAAACUGGGUCUAAUACCGGCUAGUGCAAGAUGAGCUGGCGGCCUAUCAGCUGGCUGGUGGGGGAAUGGCCUACCAGGGCGUGGACGGGUAGCCGGCCUUAGAGCGUGUACGGCCACAUGAGGACUAAGAUAGGGCCCAGUAGCGUACGGGAGGCAGCGGUGGGAAAUAUUGCACAAUAGGCGGGAGCCUGAUGCAGCGACGCCGGGUGGGGGAUGAACGCUUUCUGGUUGUAAACUCCUUUCGAAGGGGACGCGGUACCUGUAUAAGAAGCAACGGCUAACUACGUGCCAGCAGCCGCGGUAAUUC
rnacentral:rRNA from 1 species